rnacentral:rRNA from 1 species
GACGAACGCUGGCGGCGUGCCUAAUACAUGCAAGUAGAACGCUGAAGGAGGAGCUUGCUUCUCUGGAUGAGUUGCGAACGGGUGAGUAACGCGUAGGUAACCUGCCUGGUAGCGGGGGAUAACUAUUGGAAACGAUAGCUAAUACCGCAUAAUAGUAGAUGUUGCAUGACAUUUGCUUAAAAGGUGCAAUUGCAUCACUACCAGAUGGACCUGCGUUGUAUUAGCUAGUUGGUGGGGUAACGGCUCACCAAGGCGACGAUACAUAGCCGACCUGAGAGGGUGAUCGGCCACACUGGGACUGAGACACGGCCCAGACUCCUACGGGAGGCAGCAGUAGGGAAUCUUCGGCAAUGGACGGAAGUCUGACCGAGCAACGCCGCGUGAGUGAAGAAGGUUUUCGGAUCGUAAAGCUCUGUUGUAAGAGAAGAACGAGUGUGAGAGUGGAAAGUUCACACUGUGACGGGAUCUUACCAGAAAGGGACGGCUAACUACGU